rnacentral:rRNA from 1 species
UUAAGCGACUAAGCGUACACGGUGGAUGCCCUGGCAGUCAGAGGCGAUGAAGGACGUGCUAAUCUGCGAUAAGCGUCGGUAAGGUGAUAUGAACCGUUAUAACCGGCGAUUUCCGAAUGGGGAAACUCAGUGUGAUUCGUCACACUAUCAUUAACUGAAUCCAUAGGUUAAUGAGGCGAACCGGGGGAACUGAAACAUCUAAGUACCCCGAGGAAAAGAAAUCAACCGAGAUUCCCCCAGUAGCGGCGAGCGAACGGGGAGGAGCCCAGAGCCUGAAUCAGUGUGUGUGUUAGUGGAAGCGUCUGGAAAGGCGCGCGAUACAGGGUGACAGCCCCGUACACAAAAAUGCACAUGCUGUGAGCUCGAUGAGUAGGGCGGGACACGUGGUAUCCUGUCUGAAUAUGGGGGGACCAUCCUCCAAGGCUAAAUACUCCUGACUGACCGAUAGUGAACCAGUACCGUGAGGGAAAGGCGAAAAGAACCCCGGCGAGGGGAGUGAAAAAGAACCUGAAACCGUGUACGUACAAGCAGUGGGAGCACGCUUAGGCGUGUGACUGCGUACCUUUUGUAUAAUGGGUCAGCGACUUAUAUUCUGUAGCAAGGUUAACCGAAUAGGGGAGCCGAAGGGAAACCGAGUCUUAACUGGGCGUUAAGUUGCAGGGUAUAGACCCGAAACCCGGUGAUCUAGCCAUGGGCAGGUUGAAGGUUGGGUAACACUAACUGGAGGACCGAACCGACUAAUGUUGAAAAAUUAGCGGAUGACUUGUGGCUGGGGUGAAAGGCCAAUCAAACCGGGAGAUAGCUGGUUCUCCCCGAAAGCUAUUUAGGUAGCGCCUCGUGAAUUCAUCUCCGGGGGUAGAGCACUGUUUCGGCAAGGGGGUCAUCCCGACUUACCAACCCGAUGCAAACUGCGAAUACCGGAGAAUGUUAUCACGGGAGACACACGGCGGGUGCUAACGUCCGUCGUGAAGAGGGAAACAACCCAGACCGCCAGCUAAGGUCCCAAAGUCAUGGUUAAGUGGGAAACGAUGUGGGAAGGCCCAGACAGCCAGGAUGUUGGCUUAGAAGCAGCCAUCAUUUAAAGAAAGCGUAAUAGCUCACUGGUCGAGUCGGCCUGCGCGGAAGAUGUAACGGGGCUAAACCAUGCACCGAAGCUGCGGCAGCGACACUGUGUGUUGUUGGGUAGGGGAGCGUUCUGUAAGCCUGUGAAGGUGUGCUGUGAGGCAUGCUGGAGGUAUCAGAAGUGCGAAUGCUGACAUAAGUAACGAUAAAGCGGGUGAAAAGCCCGCUCGCCGGAAGACCAAGGGUUCCUGUCCAACGUUAAUCGGGGCAGGGUGAGUCGACCCCUAAGGCGAGGCCGAAAGGCGUAGUCGAUGGGAAACAGGUUAAUAUUCCUGUACUUGGUGUUACUGCGAAGGGGGGACGGAGAAGGCUAUGUUGGCCGGGCGACGGUUGUCCCGGUUUAAGCGUGUAGGCUGGUUUUCCAGGCAAAUCCGGAAAAUCAAGGCUGAGGCGUGAUGACGAGGCACUACGGUGCUGAAGCAACAAAUGCCCUGCUUCCAGGAAAAUCCUCUAAGCAUCAGGUAACAUCAAAUCGUACCCCAAACCGACACAGGUGGUCAGGUAGAGAAUACCAAGGCGCUUGAGAGAACUCGGGUGAAGGAACUAGGCAAAAUGGUGCCGUAACUUCGGGAGAAGGCACGCUGAUAUGUAGGUGAAGCGACUUGCUCGUGGAGCUGAAAUCAGUCGAAGAUACCAGCUGGCUGCAACUGUUUAUUAAAAACACAGCACUGUGCAAACACGAAAGUGGACGUAUACGGUGUGACGCCUGCCCGGUGCCGGAAGGUUAAUUGAUGGGGUCAGCGCAAGCGAAGCUCUUGAUCGAAGCCCCGGUAAACGGCGGCCGUAACUAUAACGGUCCUAAGGUAGCGAAAUUCCUUGUCGGGUAAGUUCCGACCUGCACGAAUGGCGUAAUGAUGGCCAGGCUGUCUCCACCCGAGACUCAGUGAAAUUGAACUCGCUGUGAAGAUGCAGUGUACCCGCGGCAAGACGGAAAGACCCCGUGAACCUUUACUAUAGCUUGACACUGAACAUUGAGCCUUGAUGUGUAGGAUAGGUGGGAGGCUUAGAAGUGUGGACGCCAGUCUGCAUGGAGCCGACCUUGAAAUACCACCCUUUAAUGUUUGAUGUUCUAACGUUGACCCGUAAUCCGGGUUGCGGACAGUGUCUGGUGGGUAGUUUGACUGGGGCGGUCUCCUCCUAAAGAGUAACGGAGGAGCACGAAGGUUGGCUAAUCCUGGUCGGACAUCAGGAGGUUAGUGCAAUGGCAUAAGCCAGCUUGACUGCGAGCGUGACGGCGCGAGCAGGUGCGAAAGCAGGUCAUAGUGAUCCGGUGGUUCUGAAUGGAAGGGCCAUCGCUCAACGGAUAAAAGGUACUCCGGGGAUAACAGGCUGAUACCGCCCAAGAGUUCAUAUCGACGGCGGUGUUUGGCACCUCGAUGUCGGCUCAUCACAUCCUGGGGCUGAAGUAGGUCCCAAGGGUAUGGCUGUUCGCCAUUUAAAGUGGUACGCGAGCUGGGUUUAGAACGUCGUGAGACAGUUCGGUCCCUAUCUGCCGUGGGCGCUGGAGAACUGAGGGGGGCUGCUCCUAGUACGAGAGGACCGGAGUGGACGCAUCACUGGUGUUCGGGUUGUCAUGCCAAUGGCACUGCCGGUAGCUAAAUGCGGAAGAGAUAAGUGCUGAAAGCAUCUAAGCACGAAACUUGCCCCGAGAUGAGUUCUCCCUGACCCUUUAAGGGUCCUGAAGGAACGUUGAAGACGACGACGUUGAUAGGCCGGGUGUGUAAGCGCAGCGAUGCGUUGAGCUAACCGGUACUAAUGAACGUGAGGCUUAACCUU